rnacentral:rRNA from 1 species
AUACGUAGGGGGCUAGCGUUAUCCGGAAUUACUGGGCGUAAAGGGUGCGUAGGUGGUUUCUUAAGUCAGAGGUGAAAGGCUACGGCUCAACCGUAGUAAGCCUUUGAAACUGGGAAACUUGAGUGCAGGAGAGGAGAGUGGAAUUCCUAGUGUAGCGGUGAAAUGCGUAGAUAUUAGGAGGAACACCAGUUGCGAAGGCGGCUCUCUGGACUGUAACUGACGCUGAGGCUCGAAAGCAUGGGUAGC